AGUGAACGCUGGCGGUAGGCCUAACACAUGCAAGUCGAACGGCAGCACAGAGGAGCUUGCUCCUUGGGUGGCGAGUGGCGGACGGGUGAGGAAUACAUCGGAAUCUACUCUGUCGUGGGGGAUAACGUAGGGAAACUUACGCUAAUACCGCAUACGACCUACGGGUGAAAGCAGGGGAUCUUCGGACCUUGCGCGAUUGAAUGAGCCGAUGUCGGAUUAGCUAGUUGGCGGGGUAAAGGCCCACCAAGGCGACGAUCCGUAGCUGGUCUGAGAGGAUGAUCAGCCACACUGGAACUGAGACACGGUCCAGACUCCUACGGGAGGCAGCAGUGGGGAAUAUUGGACAAUGGGCGCAAGCCUGAUCCAGCCAUACCGCGUGGGUGAAGAAGGCCUUCGGGUUGUAAAGCCCUUUUGUUGGGAAAGAAAUCCAGCCGGCUAAUACCUGGUUGGGAUGACGGUACCCAAAGAAUAAGCACCGGCUAACUUCGUGCCAGUAGCCGCGGUAAUACGAAGGGUGCAAGCGUUACUCGGAAUUACUGGGCGUAAAGCGUGCGUAGGUGGUUAUUUAAGUCCGUUGUGAAAGCCCUGGGCUCAACCUGGGAACUGCAGUGGAUACUGGAUGACUAGAAUGUGGUAGAGGGUAGCGGAAUUCCUGGUGUAGCAGUGAAAUGCGUAGAGAUCAGGAGGAACAUCCAUGGCGAAGGCAGCUACCUGGACCAACAUUGACACUGAGGCACGAAAGCGUGGGGAGCAAACAGG
rnacentral:rRNA from 1 species